ACAUGUCCGAGAUACUGUAGUUUUCUUUCUUUAAUUGUAAGUUCAACUUCCUUCUCUUUACCUAUUCUUCUCAGGACUUCAUUGUUCGUAACACUAUCUACCGUUCGAACCUCGCACGUCGCUAUACAUUAAUCCGCUUGGCCCCUAUUAAUUUAAGGUCUCUUUGGCAGUCCAUCCUUUAGUCUCAAACUCUUUAUCAUUUACUUCUUGUACCCUUUUUCCAACGACCUCUGAUACGUCACGAUCCGAUGAUUUAUUUCUACUCCCGCCAUAAAAAGCGUCAAAAAUGACCAGAAGGGACCUUAGAUUUUGAUGGAGGCGCCAACAUUAGUUCUUAUGGGCGCCUCCACCAAAUCAAACGAUCAGUUUUUAUCGUACUUUUCUGUAUUCGAUUAACUUUCCAGCUAAGGACUUGUUUAAUUUUUCUCUUUAUUUUUAUAAUUUGAUUAGACUAAGGCGUCCGUGUGUUAAUGGAACAAUAAAUGCCUUUUUGCACAAAUAAACAUACAUACUUGUUUAAAAAUUAAGUACGCUUAAUAGAACAGUUGCCUUGUUACAAAUAUAAAAAUGAAUGUAUAAAAUACAUUAUAGAUUUUUUUAUAUUGCAUACCUAGUUAUGUGUUACAUUAAUUAUUUUUAUAAACCAGCGCACAAAAAAUGUCAUAAUUUAUUUUUAUUAAAUGUUGCAAUAUUAUUUGAAUUCGUCAUUAAUAAAUUAAUAAAAAUAUUUCGGAGACAGCUUUCGCAUAAAUAAUUAUUUUUGCUAUAAAAUAUUUCACAGAGAUAUUGAUAUUUAUUUGUUGAAAUGCUGGGAAAUAAUAAAUCGCCUCUAUUUCGAUAUAGAGCAAAUACGUGGCUCAAAUAACUGAUGUCACAAGCUGUUAGGGGUGUCGCGCUUUCUGAUGAUAUAUUAAUGGUAACAAAAUUACAAGAAUGAAACCAGGGAAACAGGCAAAAUACCAAAAACCAAACUGAAAAUGAACUCUAUACAGGAAACUGUAAAAGUUAUGAAAAAUAACAAAAGUGUAGGCACCAAUUUUAUUUCUUUCUGGGUAUAUAGCCUUGUGGAAGUUAUAUAGUGUGAAAAUAUAUGUACAAAAGUGAUCAAUUGGAUUAUGUGAACUACAGAAAUAUUGUAUUAUUUAAUAAUAUGUAAUAUAUCAAGUCUUUAACAUACUUAUAGGAAGUAGACAUGAUAAGUAUAUAAACGAAACACUCGCAGAAUGGCCAGGAUACAAAACAAACAGAUGUACAAUCGAAUAAAUCUUCAUACUAAAUCGAAUCGAAAAGUCAAACGUAAACUUCCUCAUCAGAGAUUUCAAGAAAGCAAGAUAAUUUAGUUUUACGACAAUAUCUGUACCAAACAUUCAGGUCAUUUUAAAUGAGAAUGAAGCUUUACAUUAAACUAAUAAGAAUGAUAUCAAAAGAAACUGAAUUCGAUGUAACCAUAAACGAACAUUUCAAAAAAAAA
rnacentral:lncRNA from 1 species